CUCUCUAUAGUUUAGAAUAAAACCUUGAAUUGCAAGUUCAAAGAAGAAGCAAAAAUUUCUAGCGAGU
rnacentral:tRNA from 1 species